UAUAGAGGUCUCAAGCGUUGUUCGGAUUCAUUGGGCGUAAAGGGUGCGUAGGCGGUCGUGCAAGUCGGAUGUGAAAUCUCAGGGCUCAACCCUGAAACUGCAUUCGAUACUGCGUGGCUAGAGUGCUGGAGAGGAGACUGGAAUUUACGGUGUAGCAGUGAAAUGCGUAGAUAUCGUAAGGAAGACCAGUGGCGAAGGCGAGUCUCUGGACAGCAACUGACGCUGAGGCACGAAGGCCAGGGGAGCAAACGGG
rnacentral:rRNA from 1 species